GAUUAAAAGAGAUUAUUCACAUAAUGCCCUCAGCCCAGAGUCUGGCACUCAGUAAAUCGUGGCUAUAUUUAUUAUUGCUUUCCUGCCAACCUCAUCCUGGCUUCCUAUGGAGCAGUGCACCUCAAAGGGUGAGCCGGGAAGCCUCCGCACCCGCGUCCCUGGGAGCCCCUGAGAAGCCCGUGAGAAUUCUCCAUCCACCUCAGACCUUCGCCAUCCGAAUGUCUGGGCUCAGGACGCAGCGAUCUGUGCGGCCAGGCUCUCGGAGAGAUUUGCAAGCAUGGUCAGUCUGAGAGGCACCUAUCUGGAGAGCCUACUGUAUGAUUCCUCAGCCUGACACCUUGCUCUUUGCACAGCCCCACCUCAUUCCUGGGAACGGUAGAAGCUGCAGGUGUGGGAAGAAACUGAGAUGCCUGUCCUUGGAAAGCUCUAACGAACUCUAGCCUGAUUUGCUGACGAGGCCUUCAGAUGUUAUUUCUGCAGUGUUGCUUACGUUUUAAGAAGAGGUUGUUGGAAGACAGGACAUUUUAAAGCCAUAAUGAAUCGCAAUCUAAUCAUGAGAAAAAUAUCAGACACACACAACUGAGGGACAUUCUACAAAAUACUGAACCAGUACUCCUCCAAACUAGCAAGGUCAUCAAAAAAAGGAAAGUCUGAGAAACCAUCACAGCCAAGAGGACCCUAAGGAGACAGGAUCAUGAGAUGUAAUGUGGGAUCUGGGGGAUGGGUGGGGAGAGGAUACAAACUGAGGGAAAAUUAGGAGAUCUGAACAAAGUGUGGAUUUUCCUUCAUAACAAUGUAUCAGUAUUAUUAGUUCAUCAAUUGUAACAAAUGUACCAUACUAAUGUAAGAUGUUAAUAAUGGGAGAAACUGGUGUCAGGUAUAUGGGGGCACUGUAAAUCUUCUCUCAUUUUCUAUAAAUCUA